GAGCUGACCGGGUCACAGGGGGCGGAGUCAGAGCUGACCUGGGCGGAGGGGGCGGAGUCAGAGCUGACCUGGGCGGAGGGGGCGGAGUCAGAGCUGACCGGGGCGGAGUCAGAGCUGACCGGGGCGUAGGGGGCGGAGUCAGAGCCGGUUCUGACCCGAAACACGUCCGAUCACAGGUUACAUCAGCUAAAAGCUUUGAGUUUAAAGUGGAAGUCAAGGAACAGGAAGUGAUGUAGAAAACCAAACAGAGAUAAAAAGAAAAUGUCUGAUUCAUUCAUAAUUCUGACAUGGAGCUGAUGAAGCAUCAACCCUGCGGCUGGAGGGUGGUUACCUAGCAACCAGCAGCUGCUGGAAACCGGGCCACUGGGUCAAUAACAGACACCAGGAAGCAAACUGGAAACUGGCUGGACUGGAGUUUAUUUAGUGGAAUCAGAGUAAAAGGGGCUGAAGACAAUGCAAAGCAGGAUUUUACUUAAAAUAAAUUUUUAACAUGAAUUAUUAACAAAAAGGUAUUUUUAUGAUCGACAUCAUUAAAGUCUGAGACUCUAAUCCAGGUUUCUGAUCCUGCAGCUCCAGAAGUGAUAAACCAGAUAUUAGUUUUAAUUAUACGUUUGUAAUAAAUGCAGGUUUUAGUAGUUUAAUAAUUACACUGAAAGUACCAGCAACAGGUUUCUAGAUCUAUUUUCUCAUUCAUAUUUCCAAUAAAAAUCAACAUCUUACAAAACGCUUUAUUCACUUUUCACAAAAGUCUUAUGGUUUUAUUAAUUUUAAAACCAAAAUCUAAAUAAAAUUGUGUUUUUUUAGUGUAACAACAUUUCCUCCAGUGUGCGUCAUUUGCAGCUCUAAAUAUGUUUUCUGAAGCUGAACUGGCUGCAAAGAUCUGAUCUAAAGUUUCUGAUUUUAUAAUAAUUAUCCUCCAGAGGGAGUUGCAUUAUUUCGGUGUGUGUGUGUGUGUGUGUGUGUGUGUGUAUUGAUCCCAGCUGGUGCCAUGUUUGUUGUCGUUGUGUGUUACUGAUCUCUGUUGCUGUCAUAGCUUCCCUGACCCAAAUCGCUGCCGUCUGAUUGGCUGUGUAAUCCACCAAUAGAUCAAUGGUUCUGAUUGGCUAACAUGGCAACCUGCGGUAUUGACCAAUGACCUUCCUGCUUUCCAGUAGUCAAUACCCAGACUCUGACAGGAGCGACUGCAGAACCAGCAGACCGUUUCCUGAUUAGCAACUCAUUACAGGGAAAACGGCUUUAAUUCCAGGUUCGGCCACUUGGGGGCAGCAGAAAGGCUAUGAUGUGAGCAAACAGCAGAUUGUAGGUCAGUCAUGAGGACAAAGUUCAGGUGUUGAGAAAAGCUCCAGUUACCAUGGUAACAGAUCCAGGUAAGAUGUAAAACUCUCAAACUGAACCAAAAGUUACCUCAAUAAAGGACCGGUCCGGUUCUGGAGCCAGCUGUUGCUCCUGAUGCUCCUCGUUUAGCUCGACGACACACACCCCACACACA